GUUUCGCCUCACCAACAUUUUUAAUUUCCGGUCUGACCCCAAACAAACCAUUUGGGGGUUGACUUUUUAAAAUGACCAAUGACCCAAAACCGUAUAAUGUUGUGACUUGCCCAGCUCUAGUUUAACUGUGCCCCAGGUGGAUGCCAGCCCUUUAACGGUUUGGGGUAGGGCGUGAAAUGGUUUUUGCAAUGCCGUUUCCCUGAGUGUGAAUUAUGGAGGAAAUAACAAAGUUAUUGGUUUUGGUAGUGGGACCAGACUAACAAUAAAGGCUAGUAAGUAAGGGGACGUUCAUAGCAUACAUCUUUGUGCAAAAUCCAUGUACAAUGGAUGGCUCAGUGGACAGGGAAUGGGAUAUUAGGGCCUUUCGUUUCUAGGGGGUGCUGUUUUCAAUUUGCCCCAGAUCUGGGAUGGGAUAUGGGGCUUUUCAUAGCUAGGGGGGGUCGUUGCAAUCCAGUCCCAAGUCAGGGGGGACCGGCUGGCUCAGGAAAGUUGGGGAGUAGAAUGGGGGCAUUUCAGAUGUACAUGGUACUGAUUCCAUCCAGAGGGACCAGUGAGGUCAGGGGAUAGGAUCUGAUUCCUUUUGCUUCUAGGACACUUGUACCAACCCAGCCCAAGGCUGAGGGAAUAGCUGGCUUGGAGAGGAUGGGCAAUCAGAUACGACCCUCACACCUCAAGGGCGUGAGCACCAAUCUGGCUGAAAGGUUUCUACGCUGGCCUGCAUGGAAGAAGUUUGGUCCAAGGUUGCAACUGAACAGACAUUCACCUCUGCGUCACCACUAGGGCUGGCCUCCCCGUGGACGGCUCAAGGACUGAAUGGUCCCUGGACUUCCCUGUGACGUCUAGGCAAGGCCCUGGCAGUGGAAAGUUGAGAUCUUGAAAGAUCUAACGCUUCUAUCUACCGAGUGAAGUCCCAAAAUGGGAUCUACUCAGCUUGCCUUAUCACGGACUUCUCCCCUGGCAACAUCGAAGUUGGGUUCUCAGAGAAAUCUCUUACAGAAGUCAAUGCCUCCGUUGUGCAGGUGAAAAACCCAGACAGCGGAGAAAUGGAAGCAAGCUAUGGGACGGUGCUCUUGGUAGACCAGGAGAACACUCGCUGCAUUGCUAAACAAGGAUGGGAACAGACAACGUGACGGAGAGUGCUGAGGAAGGUGACACAUGCAAGAUAAUGGAGCUGGAUGACAAUUUUGAGACAGACAAUCAGCUAAACCUCCUGUCAUUCACGCUGCUGGGCCUGAGAAUCGUUUUUGUGAAAGGAGUGGCACUUAACCUGCUCCUGACCUUCUGGCUGUGGAAAAGCUAAAGAGUGGAAGGAAAGAGGACAGAUCUGGAGUGAUGGAAUCUGGAGUGAUGGGAAUUCCUCAGAGACCUGGUGUCAUCUCUUCACCUUCCCAUGCAUCAGGAAAUAUAAUGAAAUGAAUGGUCCCCAUAUCACCUCUGUAUAUAGGCCUGAUGUAUAAUGAUCUGACGUGCUUUCACUUAGCAAGUUUUAGAAGGAUCUCACCUACCUAGCCUGGUUUUUCCAUGACUCUCCUCCCUUUCACCCUCCACAGAUUGACACAUUUAUCCUCACAAGCUCCCAGUGUGGGGAAAGGAAUUGCUAUUAACUAGAGCUGGUCAACAAAUGUGCGUGAAAACAUUUUUCGAUGGAAAACUGGGUUUCAAUUUUUUUGGCAGAAAGUCCCCAUUUUCCUAGAAAAAAACUUCAAAUUUUCAUCAGAAACUGAAAAUGUUUGGCUAAAAACUGAAUAUUUUUCAGUCUGGUUUUUUUACAGUUUUUGGCUACAAGAUUUUUCAGCUUUUGUCUGAAAAUUUUCAGUUUUCAGUUGUCAAACACCAAAACCAACUUUUUUAAACAAUUUUUUUCCAGUGCAAAUUUCAACAAAAGUGAAUAUUUUUUUAGUCUUCAUUGAAAUUUUCUGCAGAACAAACCAGCUUUACCAUUAACCCUAUUUUGAAAAGGGGAAAUUGAAGCACAGAGACACUGAGGCUGAGAUUUUCAAAGCCUAAGGGCUUUGGGCACCUGUUUCCCUUUGAAAUCAGUGGGAAUUGUGCAUUAAAAUCCCCUAGGUUGAAUUUUACACUCUCUGCCACACACUGGGAUUUUCAAAGGUGCCUCGCAGAAUGAGGCACCCAUCUCCACUUGAAAUUCAAUAGCAUUUAGGCAGCUAGUUCCUUUGAAAAUCCAGCCAACACAUUUCUGAUCGUAGUGGGUUCUUUAAGUUGACGCUAGACAAAUUCAGCCUGGCAAUAAAGUGCACAUUAACAGUGAGGGUAAUUAACAAUUGGACUGUCUUAACUAGGCGUGUGUGGAUUUCCCCUCGCUUGUGCUCUUUACAUCAAGACAGGAUGUCUUUCCAAAAGGCCCGCUGUAGUUCACCUAGACGUUAUGGGCUCAAAGCAGGGAUCAGCGGGCAAAACUCUCUGGCUUGUGUUAUAGGCAGGAAGUUGGGCUAGACCAGAAUGGUCCCAUCUGGCCUCUGUGACUUGAAGAAACUUGUACACAUGACCCCAUGUGUCUCUAACCGUCCCUGCUCUGCAGAAUUUGAGGCCAGAUCUCCGGGUGGUAGAAUUCUUCCAGCAAUUCUGGAAGAGCUGCUUUAGCCAAGCACCAGAUGUGCUUGAGUCACAUGCAGGUUCUGGGCCCAUUGCAGGGGAGAUGUAAUAGCCAGGAAGUCGGACUAGUCUUUCCUGCCAUAAACGCUAUGAAUUUAUACCAGCUCUGGCCUGAACCUAGCUUUUAUGUUUCAAAUCUGCAUUUAUACCGACCUUUAGCUCUGUUAACCUGAUCUCCCUAUUUUCAGCCUUUCUAAAUUGUGAUAUUUGCUCAUGUUUAUGCUUUGGAAAAGAUUUUAUCUUUUUUUUUUUUUCAUUUCCUGCCGAGCUUCUUUGUAUCGCAUUGAGGAGAUGAUAAUGUACUCCCAUUUCCUUUCUGGUCCGCCCUGGGCUGCUAUUAAAGAACUUGGCUGACCGUGA